UGGAAAAUGAUCUAAGUAAGAUAGUGGGCUCAUGCCCCAAAAAUGGUGCCAACCUUUUCCAG
rnacentral:tRNA from 1 species